UGUGGCGAUGAUGAUCCACUUGCCCUCACUGAGAACACUGUUCGGUAAUGAGAACCUUGAAGAGCUGAGCCAGC
rfam:Chelonia mydas contig228763, whole genome shotgun sequence.